rnacentral:ncRNA from 1 species
AGUUGAAGAAUAUAAUGAAGCAUCUAUAUUUGAUAAAGUGAAUGAUUAGAGGAAUUUGCGGGAUGAAACGUUUUCAACUUAUUUUCAAACUUUCAAUGAGUAUGACCUUGUCUUGCUUACUUAAAUUAAAGCGUAGACAUUAAGUGAGUCAUUUUUUGAUAAGCAAAACUAGGCGCUAAAUGGCAUGAACCAAACGUUAAAUUAAAAUGUCAAAGUUUGCGCUUAUGAAAUCACAUGAAAAGCAUUGGUUGAUAUAAGGAAUAUGUGACAAAUCAGUUGACAAAUGAACUAAACCUAAAAAUGGAUGGUACUUGAGUGGAAGACUUAUAUUCAACCGUUUCAUAAAGUUUAUAUCAAUAUAGUAGCACUGAUAAAGAAGCGAAAUUUGAUACUUAUU